rnacentral:rRNA from 1 species
UACGGGGGGGGCAAGCGUUGUUCGGAAUUACUGGGCGUAAAGCGUGCGCAGGCGGUGCACCAAGCUCGAUGUGAAAGCCCCGGGCUUAACCUGGGAAUUGCAUUGAGGACUGGUGUGCUCGAGUGCGGCAGAGGGGGGUGGAAUUCCACGUGUAGCAGUGAAAUGCGUAGAGAUGUGGAGGAACACCGAUGGCGAAGGCAGCCCCCUGGGCCGACACUGACGCUCAUGCACGAAAGCGUGGGGAGCAAACAGG